AGCUCGUAGUUGGACUUCUGGGUUGUGAUUGUGGUCCGCCUAACGGGGUGCUUUGUGGUUGCGACUCUUCUUCCCGCAGGUUGGCGUUGCACUUAUUGGUGGGCUGUUGGAAUAUGGGACCUUUACUUUGAAAAAAUUAUAGAGUGCAAAGGAGGGCUUCGCUUGAAUACAUUAUCAUGGAGUAAUAGAAUAAGACUUUGGUUCUAUUUUGUUGGUUUCUACGACCGAAGAAAUGAUGAAUAGGAACAGUUGGUGGCAUUAUUAUUUAAUUGUCAGAGGAGAAGUUCUUGUAGUUAUGAAAGACUAACUACUGCUAAAGCAUUUGCCAAGGAUGUUGUCAUUAAUCAAGAACAAAAGUUAGGGGAUCAAAGACGAUCAUAUACCGCCGUAGUCUUAACCAUAAUCUAUGACGACUUGUGAUCAGUGGGGGGAAAUUUCUUCUUAUCUCCACCAUAUGAUAAAUCAAAGUUUUUGGGUUCUGGGGGCAGUAUGAUCAUAAGGCUGAAACUUAAAGGAAUUGACAGAAGGGCACCGCCACGAGCGGAACCUGAGGCUGAAUUUGACU
rnacentral:rRNA from 1 species